CCAAUAGCGUAUAUUAAAGUUGUUGCAGUUAAAAAGCUCGUAGUUGAAUUUCGGGAUCAAUUUACUGGUCGUGCUAUUGUACGUACUGGUUUUAUUGGUUCCUCCCUUCUGACGAACCUUGAUGCCAUUAAUUUGGUGUCUUGGGAAAUCAGGACUGUUACUUUGAAAAAAUUAGAGUGUUUAAAGCAAGCUCACGCUUGAAUACAUUAGCAUGGAAUAACGGAAUAGGACGUUUGAUUCUAUUUUGUUGGUUUCUAGGAUCGACGUAAUGAUUAAUAGGGAUAGUUGGGGGCAUUAGUAUUCAAUUGUCAGAGGUGAAAUUCUUGGAUUUAUUGAAGACUAACUACUGCGAAAGCAUUUGCCAAGGAUGUUUUCAUUAAUCAAGAACGAAAGUUAGGGGAUCGAAGACGAUCAGAUACCGUCGUAGUCUUAACCAUAAACUAUGCCGACUAGGGAUCGGAUGAUGUUAAUUUUUUAAUGACUCAUUCGGCGCCUUACG
rnacentral:rRNA from 1 species